rnacentral:rRNA from 1 species
UGGGGAAUAUUGGACAAUGGGCGCAAGCCUGAUCCAGCAAUGCCGCGUGUGUGAAGAAGGCCUUCGGGUUGUAAAGCACUUUUAUCAGGAGCGAAACGCUGUCGGCUAAUACCCGGCGGAACUGACGGUACCUGAGGAAUAAGCACCGGCUAACUUCGUGCCAGCAGCCGCGGUAAUACGAAGGGUGCAAGCGUUAAUCGGAAUUACUGGGCGUAAAGCGUGCGUAGGCGGUUUCUUAAGUCUGCUGUGAAAUCCCCGGGCUCAACCUGGGAAUGGCAGUGGAUACUGGGAGGCUAGAGUGUGUCAGAGGGUGGUGGAAUUCCCGGUGUAGCGGUGAAAUGCGUAGAGAUCGGGAGGAACAUCAGUGGCGAAGGCGGCCACCUGGGACAACACUGACGCUGAGGCACGAAAGCGUGGGGAGCAAACAGGAUUAGAUACCCUGGUAGUCCACGCCCUAAAGCGAUGCGAACUGGAUGUUGGUCUCAACUCGGAGAUCAGUGUCGAAGCUAACGCGUUAAGUUCGCCGCCUGGGGAGUACGGUCGCAAGACU